rnacentral:rRNA from 1 species
GGGUUGUGAGGUUAAGCGACUAAGCGUACACGGUGGAUGCCCUGGCAGUCAGAGGCGAUGAAGGACGUGCUAAUCUGCGAUAAGCGUCGGUAAGGUGAUAUGAACCGUUAUAACCGGCGAUUUCCGAAUGGGGAAACCCAGUGUGUUUCGACACACUAUCAUUAACUGAAUCCAUAGGUUAAUGAGGCGAACCGGGGGAACUGAAACAUCUAAGUACCCCGAGGAAAAGAAAUCAACCGAGAUUCCCCCAGUAGCGGCGAGCGAACGGGGAGCAGCCCAGAGCCUGAAUCAGUGUGUGUGUUAGUGGAAGCGUCUGGAAAGGCGCGCGAUACAGGGUGACAGCCCCGUACACAAAAAUGCACAUGCUGUGAGCUCGAUGAGUAGGGCGGGACACGUGGUAUCCUGUCUGAAUAUGGGGGGACCAUCCUCCAAGGCUAAAUACUCCUGACUGACCGAUAGUGAACCAGUACCGUGAGGGAAAGGCGAAAAGAACCCCGGCGAGGGGAGUGAAAAAGAACCUGAAACCGUGUACGUACAAGCAGUGGGAGCACGCUUAGGCGUGUGACUGCGUACCUUUUGUAUAAUGGGUCAGCGACUUAUAUUCUGUAGCAAGGUUAACCGAAUAGGGGAGCCGAAGGGAAACCGAGUCUUAACUGGGCGUUAAGUUGCAGGGUAUAGACCCGAAACCCGGUGAUCUAGCCAUGGGCAGGUUGAAGGUUGGGUAACACUAACUGGAGGACCGAACCGACUAAUGUUGAAAAAUUAGCGGAUGACUUGUGGCUGGGGGUGAAAGGCCAAUCAAACCGGGAGAUAGCUGGUUCUCCCCGAAAGCUAUUUAGGUAGCGCCUCGUGAAUUCAUCUCCGGGGGUAGAGCACUGUUUCGGCAAGGGGGUCAUCCCGACUUACCAACCCGAUGCAAACUGCGAAUACCGGAGAAUGUUAUCACGGGAGACACACGGCGGGUGCUAACGUCCGUCGUGAAGAGGGAAACAACCCAGACCGCCAGCUAAGGUCCCAAAGUCAUGGUUAAGUGGGAAACGAUGUGGGAAGGCCCAGACAGCCAGGAUGUUGGCUUAGAAGCAGCCAUCAUUUAAAGAAAGCGUAAUAGCUCACUGGUCGAGUCGGCCUGCGCGGAAGAUGUAACGGGGCUAAACCAUGCACCGAAGCUGCGGCAGCGACGCUGAUGCGUUGUUGGGUAGGGGAGCGUUCUGUAAGCCUGCGAAGGUGUGCUGUGAGGCAUGCUGGAGGUAUCAGAAGUGCGAAUGCUGACAUAAGUAACGAUAAAGCGGGUGAAAAGCCCGCUCGCCGGAAGACCAAGGGUUCCUGUCCAACGUUAAUCGGGGCAGGGUGAGUCGACCCCUAAGGCGAGGCCGAAAGGCGUAGUCGAUGGGAAACAGGUUAAUAUUCCUGUACUUGGUGUUACUGCGAAGGGGGGACGGAGAAGGCUAUGUUGGCCGGGCGACGGUUGUCCCGGUUUAAGCGUGUAGGCUGGUUUUCCAGGCAAAUCCGGAAAAUCAAGGCUGAGGCGUGAUGACGAGGCACUACGGUGCUGAAGCAACAAAUGCCCUGCUUCCAGGAAAAGCCUCUAAGCAUCAGGUAACAUCAAAUCGUACCCCAAACCGACACAGGUGGUCAGGUAGAGAAUACCAAGGCGCUUGAGAGAACUCGGGUGAAGGAACUAGGCAAAAUGGUGCCGUAACUUCGGGAGAAGGCACGCUGAUAUGUAGGUGAAGUCCCUUGCGGAUGGAGCUGAAAUCAGUCGAAGAUACCAGCUGGCUGCAACUGUUUAUUAAAAACACAGCACUGUGCAAACACGAAAGUGGACGUAUACGGUGUGACGCCUGCCCGGUGCCGGAAGGUUAAUUGAUGGGGUUAGCGCAAGCGAAGCUCUUGAUCGAAGCCCCGGUAAACGGCGGCCGUAACUAUAACGGUCCUAAGGUAGCGAAAUUCCUUGUCGGGUAAGUUCCGACCUGCACGAAUGGCGUAAUGAUGGCCAGGCUGUCUCCACCCGAGACUCAGUGAAAUUGAACUCGCUGUGAAGAUGCAGUGUACCCGCGGCAAGACGGAAAGACCCCGUGAACCUUUACUAUAGCUUGACACUGAACAUUGAGCCUUGAUGUGUAGGAUAGGUGGGAGGCUUAGAAGUGUGGACGCCAGUCUGCAUGGAGCCGACCUUGAAAUACCACCCUUUAAUGUUUGAUGUUCUAACGUUGACCCGUAAUCCGGGUUGCGGACAGUGUCUGGUGGGUAGUUUGACUGGGGCGGUCUCCUCCUAAAGAGUAACGGAGGAGCACGAAGGUUGGCUAAUCCUGGUCGGACAUCAGGAGGUUAGUGCAAUGGCAUAAGCCAGCUUGACUGCGAGCGUGACGGCGCGAGCAGGUGCGAAAGCAGGUCAUAGUGAUCCGGUGGUUCUGAAUGGAAGGGCCAUCGCUCAACGGAUAAAAGGUACUCCGGGGAUAACAGGCUGAUACCGCCCAAGAGUUCAUAUCGACGGCGGUGUUUGGCACCUCGAUGUCGGCUCAUCACAUCCUGGGGCUGAAGUAGGUCCCAAGGGUAUGGCUGUUCGCCAUUUAAAGUGGUACGCGAGCUGGGUUUAGAACGUCGUGAGACAGUUCGGUCCCUAUCUGCCGUGGGCGCUGGAGAACUGAGGGGGGCUGCUCCUAGUACGAGAGGACCGGAGUGGACGCAUCACUGGUGUUCGGGUUGUCAUGCCAAUGGCACUGCCCGGUAGCUAAAUGCGGAAGAGAUAAGUGCUGAAAGCAUCUAAGCACGAAACUUGCCCCGAGAUGAGUUCUCCCUGAC